AAUUCUAUUUCAGAACCAUCCUCAGAGAUACGAAAAACUAGUUUUCGUAUCUCUGAGGAUGGUUCUGAAACAGAAUU